AGUCGAGAUUGUGCCAUUGUACUCUAGCCCAGGCGAUAGAGUGAGACUCCAUCUCAAAGAAAACUAGGUUUUCUAGAUUGUGUCUAAUUAUAUUUUUAGUUCAUGUUGGCUAAGCAUUUAAGAGCCCUACUAUUCAUGUAUUCAACAGAUUUUUUUUAUUUUUAAUUUUUUUUUUUAAGAUAAAGUCUCGCUCUGUCACGCAGGUUGGAAUGCAGUGGUGCGAUCUCGUCUCACUGCAACGUCUGCCCCUCGGACUCAAGUUGUCCUCCUGCCUUAGCCUCCCAAAUAACUGGGACUACAGGCGUAUGCCACCAUGCCUGGCUAAUUUUUGUAUUUUUAGUAGAGAUGGGGUUUUGCCAUGUUGGCCAGACUGGUCUCGAACUCCUGACCUUGGGUGAUCCACCCACCUUGGCCUCCCAAAGUGCUAGGAUUACAGGGGUGAGCCACGGCACCCAAACUAUUCAACAAAUUUUCAUCAAGUGCUUACCAUGGGUCACAUGCUAUUCUGGGUGCUUGUAAUUCAUCAGUGAACAAAACAGGAUCCUUCCAGUGGAUCUUACAUUUUAGACAAAACAGUAAGUGAGAAAUGAAAUAAGUACCUCUUGUAAAUUCCUAGAUAGUGUCACGUGCUGUGGAUAAAGGGAAAAGUAGAGCAGGAUAAAGGGCAGUGUUGGGAGAGUAUCUGUGUGUAGGAUGAGGGGAAGAUACAGGUUUAUAUAGGGGCCCAAGGUAGGCCUCAUUGAAGAAAUGAUAUUUAGAGACCUGCAAGGGGACUAGUUACGCAGAUACCUGGGGGAAGAGUCUUCCCAGUGUGGGAACAGCCACUACAAAGGCUGUAAGGAGCAUGCCUAACGUUUCAGAAAGAGCAGAGUCCAUUGUGGUUAGAGCCCAUGAUCAAGCUAUGGUCAGAAGAGAUCAGGGUGCAGAUCUUAGGAGGAACUGAAGGUCAUAAAUUUUGGCUUUUACACUAAGCUGCUAUUUAUUCAGCCAUUCUGAGUUUUGUUGUUGUUUGAGACAGGGUCUCACUGUCGCCCAGGCUGGAGUGUAGUGGCACAGUUUCAGCUCACUACAACUUCACCUCCUGGGCUCAAGCGAUUCUCCCACUUCAGCCUCCUGGGUAGUCGGGACUACAGGCACAUGCCACCGCACUUGCUAAUUUUUUCAGUUUUUGUAGAGACAGAAUGUCAGUAUAUUGCCAGGCUAGUCUCGAACUCGUGAGCUCAAGCAGUCUUUCCCCGCCUCAGCCUCCCAAAGUGCUGGGAUCAUAGGUGUGAGCCACUGUGCCCAGACAGCCAUCCUCAAAUGGGUUAGUUACAUCCUGCCGUUAAUGAUACAUACACAUAUAUACCUGUGUGUAAGAGUGUAUAAAUUGAAUAGUCAUGUCUGAGAUAUGAAAUUGGGCAUUCUGAAGAGAAUAUAAGCUUAUGAUUUGCUAGUGUUAUUGCCUAAUAUUAAGAUAUAGAUUGGGGGACAAAGUUUAUAUAUGUUCAAGGUGUGCUUCCUCCCCCAUCCAGACGGCGUCUUGCUCUGUCACCCAAGGUGGAGUGCAGGUGGCCUGAUCUCGGCUCACUGCAACCUCCAGCUCCCAGUUUCAAGCAAUUCUCAUGCCUCAGCCUCCCAAGUAGCUGGGAUUACAGGCGCCCGUCACCUCACCUGGCUAAUUUUUGUAUUUUUAGUAGAGACAGGGGUUUCACCAUGUUGGCCAGGCUGGUCUUGAACUCCGGACCUGGUGAUCCACCCACUUCGGCUUCCCGAAGUGCUGGGUUUACAGAUGUGUCUCUAUGUUGUCUCCUAGAGUGGGUAGUCCUGCUUCUUUUACCCAGUUACUUUCCCGUUUUUGAAAUGUGGCUAUCACUUCUCUACACAUUACCUCCAUGAUUUGGAAUGGAAAAGGCCACUUUUCUUUUUGUUCUGCCUCUCAAAUUCAACACAGAGGAGCUCCUAGGAUUCCAGUUAUCCUGCUAACAUCUCCAGGAAGAAAGAAGCAACUCACAUGGGUCUUUUGCUGUUUGCUUAAUUAUAAAGACAUCAUUUUGCAAGCAGAAGGCUGAGUUUCAUUUGAAACAGGUGCUUAGGUGGUGGUAUUUGUGAAUACUUUUCAUUCCAAGCAAGAAGACUAAAGAAGUAGCAAGUAUGAAUGACUUCAGGGUUUAAAAAAAAUGUCUUCCAGUUUCAGCCACUACCAUGAUAAGCACAGUUGAGACUGCAGCAGUAAAUUCCAAAUAUGUGUUUCUAAUUUGACGUGAAAGAUACUAAAAAUUUAUAUUUGUAUAUUUAAAUCCUGGCUCAUCCUGUGACAUAGAUUUACUGAAUAGGAACAAAGGCCCAAUUUUAAACAAAAACCUAGGCCGGGUGUGGUGGCUCACACCUGUAAUCCCAACACUUUGGGAGGCCAAGGCAGGCAAAUCACCUGAGGUUGGGAGUUUGAGACCAGCCUGACCAACAUGGAGAAACCCCAUCUCUACUAAAAAUAGAAAAUUAGCCAGGUGUGGUGGUAGAUACGUGUAAUCCCAGCUACUCGUGAGGCUGAGGCAGGAGAAUUGCUUGAAUCCGGGAGGCGGAGGUUGCAGUGAACUGAGAUUGCACCACUGCACUCCAGCCUGGGCGACAGAGUGAGACUCCGUCUCAGAAAAAUAAAAAACAACUUUGGACAUAGAGGAGUUGGGGGCAGAGGGGGGAGGAUGAGAGAAUUUUCCAUGUAACUCCUUUUCCUUAAGAAAAAGAAGCAAAAAUCCCUCAUGCAGUGCCAUCUGACUUUAUGGUGUUUCACAUUAUAUAGUUACUUUUUUUAAUAAACGCAUAAGAUUAACUCUUCCUGCAACCCAAGGUGGAUACUUGGAUGUUUGAUUUUUAUUUAUUUAUUUAUUUAUUUUUUGAGGCAGUCUCUCUCUGUUGCCCAGGCUGGAGUGAUGCGUGAUUUCUGCUCACUGCAGUCUCUCCCACCCGGGUUCAAGCGAUUCUCCUGCCUCAGCCUCCCAAGUAGCUAGGAUUACAGGCGCGCACCACCACGCUCAGCCUGAUUUCUAGGCUGAAAAGGCUGGGACUCAGGUACUUUCCCCAGUUGGGACUGAACUUUCUCAUCAGAGAAUGGGCCUCAGAAGCAAUGUUCCCAAACUUGUGGUUGGGUCAUCGUGGAAAAGAAACCUCAAAUAAGAAAAAUAAUUACAAUAAGAAAUGGAUUUUCUUUUUUCCCACAACAGUUAUACAUUAUAAAGAACAGACUGUCGUAGAAAACUGUCUUUGCUUCCAAAUCAGCAGAGGACCAUUGUAUGUAUUGUCAGGUCUUUAUAUAAGAGUGAAACCUUUAUUUAUGCUUCUUGUGAGUAGAG
rnacentral:lncRNA from 1 species